UACGUAGGGAGCAAGCGUUGUCCGGAAUCAUUGGGCGUAAAGCGCGCGUAGGUGGCCAUGUAAGUCCGCUGUGAAAGUCAAAGGCUCAACCUUUGAAAGCCGGUGGAUACUGCAUGGCUAGAGUACGGAAGAGGCGAGUGGAAUUCCUGGUGUAGCGGUGGAAUGCGCAGAUAUCAGGAGGAACACCAAUAGCGAAGGCAGCUCGCUGGGACGUUACUGACGCUGAGGAGCGAAAGCCAGGGGAGCAAACGGG
rnacentral:rRNA from 1 species